UGUGGAGCAUGGCACCCAGACUGCAGCUUCUAUAGAGGUCACAGCUUGUUGUAGAGUUCUAAUACCAAGGACAUCUGGGGGAAUAAUGACAGCCAGGGAGAAUCUUGCUGAUGCUGCAA
rnacentral:miRNA from 1 species